rnacentral:piRNA from 1 species
UAUGCACUGAGAUGCUACAAGUUGCCUG